rnacentral:tRNA from 1 species
GCCGCCAUGGUGAAAUCG